GCGGGGCAGAAGACCCGCCUGCCAGGCGAGUUCUGGUGACUCCCUGCGCCAUGGCCCGGGCCUACACCGGAGGCCGCCGGGGCCGCGGCGCUGAGUGGCGGCGUCUCCUUCAGCCCCGCUCCUAGGCGGCCGUAGCCGGACGGGAAGCCUAAGUGGGAUGCGGCUGACGCGGAAACGACUCUGCUCGUUUCUCAUCGCCCUGUACUGCCUUUUCUCCCUGUACGCCGCCUACCACGUCUUUUUCGGGCGCCGCCGCCAGACGUCGGCCGCGUCCUUGCGGGGCCUCCGGAAGGGGGCGGCCCCGGCGCGGGACAGGCGUGGCCGAGUACAGUCUUCUUUGGGAAGUGAAGAAUGGAAUCCUUGGGAAGGAGAUGAAAAAUAUGAACAACAACGCAGAUUUAAAACAAGCCUUCAAAUAGUGAAUAAAUCUACAAAAGGGAAAACAGACUUCCAAGUACAAAUCUGGGGCAAAGCCGCCAUUGGUUUGUAUCUCUGGGAGCAUAUUUUUGAAGGUUUACUUGAUCCCACUGAUGUGACUGCUCAGUGGAGAGAAGGAAAUUCAAUUGUGGGAAGAACACAUUACAGCUUCAUCACUGGUCCGGCUGUAGUCCCAGGGUACUUCUCCGUUGAUGUGAAUAAUGUAGUACUUAUUUUAAAUGGAAGAGAAAAAGCAAAGAUCUUUUAUGCCACCCAGUGGUUACUUUACGCACAAAAUUUAAUACAAACUCAAAAGCUCCAGCAUCUUGCUGUUGUUUUGCUUGGAAAUGAACAUUGUAAUAAUGAUUGGAUAAACCAAUUCCUCAAAAGAAAUGGAGGGUUUGUGGAGCUGCUUUUCAUAAUAUAUGAUAGCCCCUGGAUUAACAACAUGGACGUUUUUCAAUGGCCUUUAGGAGUAGCAACAUAUAGGAAUUUUCCUGUGGUGGAAGCAAGUUGGUCAAUGCUGCAUAAUGAAAGGCCCUACUUAUGUAAUUUCUUAGGAACCGUUUAUGAAAAUUCAUCUAGACAAGAACUAAUGAACAUUUUGAAACAAGAGGGGAUUGAUAAGCUUUGUUUGGUUUCAGUAAGAGAACAAUGGCAGCCUCAGGAAACAAAUGAAAGCCUUAAGAAUUAUCAAGAAGCUUUGCUUCACAGUGACCUCACAUUGUGCCCAGUAGGAGUAAACACGGAAUGUUACAGAAUAUAUGAGGCUUGCUCCUAUGGCUCCAUUCCUGUGGUCGAAGAUGUAAUGACAGCUGGCAGCUGUGGAAAUACGUCCAUUUACCAUAGUGCUCCUCUGCAGUUGCUCAAGUCCAUGGACGCUCCCUUUAUUUUUAUUAAGAACUGGAAGGAACUUCCUGCUGUUCUAGAAAAAGAGAAAACUAUAAUUUUACAAGAAAAGAUUCAAAGAAGAAAAAUGUUACUUCACUGGGAGGCAGCAUUGUGUAGUGGAAAGACUGAGCUUUGGAGUCAGACAAAACCUAAACUUUGCCUCUGUACCUACUAUCUGGGGACCUUGAGGAAGCAAGUCACUUAAUUGCUCUGAUUCUUGGUUUCUUUCUAUGUAAAAUGGAGAUGAUGGUACGUCACAGGGUGACAACUACGGACACUUUAUUCAAGGAUACCCUGUUGAAAGGCUUCCUGACAACUUUGAACAUUGGUACCAAAAAACAAUAACUGAGGCAAACAGCUAGUUCAAGGCCUUUGUGAACGAGAAAGUACUGAGAACCUGGGAGUUGACUGCACGAGCAGAAACUGAAAGUAUGCAAUGGAAUGGGUGCCAUGAGCUAGAGUUGGGGCCAUGAGAGAAGCAAAGAUGCUAAGAAAAACAUCUGCCCAGAGCUGUUGCCAUGGUUCCUGAUGGGUUUCCAGUUCCAAUUCCCACGAAUAUUGAGAUUGCUUUUUUAUUUUCCCAUUGUGUAUCUGCAGAAUUGUCUUCUUUCUUCAACCUUCAUUGCCCCUGGUUACUUGAACUCACUUCCAAACCAAAAGAGCCUUCCCAAGACAAUGACCAUAUGCUUCAACCUUCAGAGUCCCCGUUUUGUUUUUUCCUCGAACAGGAGUGCUGCCAAGACCAAGGUGGUAUCACAAUACUCUUUUGACUGGGUUAAAGAAGUCUCUGUAGUAUAUUUUACCAACAAGACUGGGCUGCCGUAAAAAUAAAUAAAUGAAUGAAUGAAUGAAUGAAUAAUAAAAAAUAAAUAAAUAAAUAAAUAAGUAAGUAAGUAAA